UACAGAGGGUGCAAACGUUGCUCGGAAUCAUUGGGCGGAAAGCGCGUGUAGGCGGCUUGGCAAGUCGGUUGUGAAAGCCCGGGGCCCAACCCCGGAAUUGCAUCUGAAACUGCCUCGCUAGAGUCCCGGAGAGGAAGGCAGAAUUCCCGGUGUAGGGGUGAAAUCCGUAGAUAUCGGGAGGAAUACCAGCGGCGAAGGCGGCCUUCUGGACGGUGACUGACGCUGAGACGCGAAAGCGUGGGGAGCAAACAGG
rnacentral:rRNA from 1 species